CAUUGAAACAGAAUAGCAAGGACUCCUAUGAUGGCCAAAGACAUAAAAAUGUUUCCGCAACAUCAAUUUCUGGUUCACAAACUUUUCCUGAAAGAUUUAAAGAGUUGGAUCAACGGCCUACUAAGAAGAAAGGGUUAGCUAAACAAGUGACUGAAACAAACGUAGGAAGAAUGACAGAAUCCAAUCAACGGCCUACCAAAAAGAG